ACUCCUACGGGAGGCAGCAGUGGGGAAUAUUGCACAAUGGGCGCAAGCCUGAUGCAGCCAUGCCGCGUGUGUGAAGAAGGCCUUCGGGUUGUAAAGCACUUUCAGUCGUGAGGAAGGUAGUGUAGUUAAUAGCUGCAUUAUUUGUACGUUAGCGACAGAAGAAGCACCGGCUAACUCCGUGCCAGCAGCCGCGGUAAUACGGAGGGUGCGAGCGUUAAUCGGAAUUACGUGGGCGUAAAGCGCAUGCAGGUUGGUUUGUUAAGUCAGAUGUGAAACGCCCGGGGCUCAACCUCGGAAUAGCAUUUGAAACUGGCAGACUAGAGUACUGUAGAGGGGGUAGAAUUUCGAGGUGUAGCGGUGAAAUGCGUAGAGAUCGUAGAAGGUAACU
rnacentral:rRNA from 1 species